GCGGAUGUGGUGGAAUGGUAGACACGGUAGACUCAGAAUCUACUGCUCUUGUAGCGUAGGGGUUCGAAUCCCCUUUUCCGUA
rnacentral:tRNA from 1 species